rnacentral:rRNA from 1 species
CCUACGGGAGGCAGCAGUGAGGAAUAUUGGUCAAUGGACGGAAGUCUGAACCAGCCAUGCCGCGUGCAGGAAGACGGCUCUAUGAGUUGUAAACUGCUUUUGUACAAGGGUAAACCUGAAUACGUGUAUUCAGCUGAAAGUACUGUACGAAUAAGGAUCGGCUAACUCCGUGCCAACAGCCGCGGUAAUACGGAGGAUCCAAGCGUUAUCCGGAUUUAUUGGUUUUAAAGGGUGCGUAGGCGGAUUGAUAAGUUAGAGGUGAACUGUCCGAGCUUAACUCGGGAACUGCCUCUAAUACUGUUGAUCUAGAGAGUAGAUGCGGUAGGCGGAAUGUAUGGUGUAGCGGUGAAAUGCUUAGAGAUCAUACAGAACACCGAUUGCGAAGGCAGCUUACCAAUCUAUAUCUGACGUUGAGGCACGAAAGCGUGGGGAGCAAACAGGAUUAGAUACCCUUGUAGUC